UCUCCGCUCGUCCAACGGCAGGAUCCCUGGCUCUGAACCAGGAGACCGAGGUUCGAAUCCUUGGCGGAGAG
rnacentral:tRNA from 1 species